CUUCGGAUUGAAGCAACUGUGACUGAGCGGCGGACGGGUGAGUAACGCGUGGGUAACCUACCUCAUACAGGGGGAUAACAGUUGGAAACGGCUGCUAAUACCGCAUAAGCGCACAGUACCGCAUGGUACCGUGUGAAAAACUCCGGUGGUAUGAGAUGGACCCGCGUCUGAUUAGCUAGUUGGUGGGGUAACGGCCUACCAAGGCGACGAUCAGUAGCCGACCUGAGAGGGUGACCGGCCACAUUGGGACUGAGACACGGCCCAAACUCCUACGGGAGGCAGCAGUGGGGAAUAUUGCACAAUGGGGGAAACCCUGAUGCAGCGACGCCGCGUGAGCGAUGAAGUAUUUCGGUAUGUAAAGCUCUAUCAGCAGGGAAGAAAAUGACGGUACCUGACUAAGAAGCCCCGGCUAACUACGUGCCAGCAGCCGCGGUAAUACGUAGGGGGCAAGCGUUAUCCGGAUUUACUGGGUGUAAAGGGAGCGUAGACGGCAUGGCAAGCCAGAUGUGAAAGCCCGGGGCUCAACCCCGGGACUGCAUUUGGAACUGUCAGGCUAGAGUGUCGGAGAGGAAAGCGGAAUUCCUAGUGUAGCGGUGAAAUGCGUAGAUAUUAGGAGGAACACCAGUGGCGAAGGCGGCUUUCUGGACGAU
rnacentral:rRNA from 1 species